AGAGUUUGAUCCUGGCUCAGAUUGAACGCUGGCGGCAGGCCUAACACAUGCAAGUCGAACGGUAACAGGAAGCAGCUUGCUGUUUCGCUGACGAGUGGCGGACGGGUGAGUAAUGUCUGGGAAACUGCCUGAUGGAGGGGGAUAACUACUGGAAACGGUAGCUAAUACCGCAUAACGUCGCAAGACCAAAGAGGGGGACCUUCGGGCCUCUUGCCAUCGGAUGUGCCCAGAUGGGAUUAGCUAGUAGGUGGGGUAACGGCUCACCUAGGCGACGAUCCCUAGCUGGUCUGAGAGGAUGACCAGCCACACUGGAACUGAGACACGGUCCAGACUCCUACGGGAGGCAGCAGUGGGGAAUAUUGCACAAUGGGCGCAAGCCUGAUGCAGCCAUGCCGCGUGUAUGAAGAAGGCCUUCGGGUUGUAAAGUACUUUCAGCGGGGAGGAAGGGAGUAAAGUUAAUACCUUUGCUCAUUGACGUACCCGCAGAAGAAGCCCCCG
rnacentral:rRNA from 1 species